rnacentral:lncRNA from 1 species
GGCACCAGGAGGUGCCGCCUUCCUCAUUCUUAACAGAAGUCUUAGUGAGCCCUGGAGUCUUGGAUGAAGAAACUGAGGUGGAGAGAGGUGGAAGGCCCGCCUGAGGUCCUGCACAAAGUCAGUGGCUGAGCCAUGUUUCUUUCCCACCUGUUUCAGGUUCUGGAAUUUCACCGUGAGGGUUUUUUUCCUUUGUGUGUGUUUUGCAGGAUUUGUCAUUGCUGCUGCUGUUACUGCAGUUGCUGUUGCCAGGACCAAACACCUCUGGCACAGCCUCAUUAGUCACUACCUAAGCUGCCCUGACAAGUGGAUAAAAGGAAAGAAGACCUCUUUUAGGCAUGGAGGGAAAGUGAGACUUUGGAGCUUUUGCCUAUUCCAGAGAAAAUCAAUGAACUCUGUGGAACAUGGUGGAGAUA